rnacentral:rRNA from 1 species
AGUUGGUGGAGUGAUUUGUCUGGUUAAUUCCGUUAACGAACGAGACCGUAGCCUGCUAAAUAGUUCCGCGAACUUCUUGUUGGCGGUCGACUUCUUAGAGGGACAACUUGUGACCAACAAGUGGAAGUUUGCGGCAAUAACAGGU